rnacentral:lncRNA from 1 species
AUUGUAAAAGAUUUCGAAUUUAAUUAAAGAUUUAUUAGAAUUAAUUUAGGAUUUAAGAUUUGGUUAGGAUUUUUUUAAGAUUUGAUUUAAUAUUUGGUCAAGGAUUAGGAUUUGUGAUUUGAUUAGAAUUUAUUUAAGAUUUGAUUAAAAUUUAAGAUUUUGUUAAAAUUUUAUUAGGAUUAAUUUAGGGUUUAGAAUUUGAUUUAUGAUUUAAUUAGGAUUUAGGAUUUAUUUAGGAUUUGAUUAGGAAUUGAUUAAGAUUUAGGAUUUAUUUAGGAUUUGAUUAGAAUUUGAAUAAGAUUUAAUUAGAGUUUAUCUAGGAUUUAAUUAAGAUUUGUUUAAGAUUUGAUUUAAGAUUCUAUUAGAAUUUAGGAUUUGAUUAGAGCUUGAUUAAGAUUUGAUUAGAAUUUGGAUAGGAUUUUAUUAGGAUUUGAUAUAAAAUUUGAUUAGGAUUUGAAUAGGAUUUUAUUAGAAUUUU